rnacentral:rRNA from 1 species
UGGGAGAUAUUGGGCAAUGGGCGCAAGCCUGACCCAGCAACGCCGCGUGAAGGAAGAAGGCCCUCGGUUGUAACUUCUUUUAUCAGGGACGAAGAAAGUGACGGUACCUGAUGAAUAAGCCACGGCUAACUACGUGCCAGCAGCCGCGGUAAUACGUAGGUGGCAAGCGUUAUCCGGAUUUACUGGGUGUAAAGGGCGUGUAGGCGGGACUGCAAGUCAGAUGUGAAAACCAUGGGCUCAACCCAUGGCCUGCAUUUGAAACUGUAGUUCUUGAGUACUGGAGAGGCAGACGGAAUUCCUAGUGUAGCGGUGAAAUGCGUAGAUAUUAGGAGGAACACCAGUGGCGAAGGCGGUCUGCUGGACAGCAACUGACGCUGAGGCGCGAAAGCGUGGGAGCAAACAAGGAGUUAGAUACC